AUUGAACGCUGGCGGCAUGCCUUACACAUGCAAGUCGAACGGCAGCACGGGGGCAACCCUGGUGGCGAGUGGCGAACGGGUGAGUAACACAUCGGAACGUGCCCAGUAGUGGGGAUAGCUCGGCGAAAGCCGGAUUAAUACCGCAUACGACCUACGGGUGAAAGCGGGGGAUCGCAAGACCUCGCGCUAUCGGAGCGGCCGAUGUCAGAUUAGGUUGUUGGUGGGGUAAAGGCCACCAAGCCGACGAUCUGUAGCUGGUCUGAGAGGACGACCAGGCCACACUGGGACUGAGACACGGCCCAGACUCCUACGGGAGGCAGCAGUGGGGAAUUUUGGAC
rnacentral:rRNA from 1 species